CCUACGGGAGGCAGCAGUGAGGAAUAUUGGUCAAUGGGCGAGAGCCUGAACCAGCCAAGUCGCGUGAGGGAGUACUGCCCUAUGGGUUGUAAACCUCUUUUGUCGGGGAGCAAAAGCCGGACGUGUCCGGCUGUGAGAGUACCCGAAGAAAAAGCAUCGGCAAACUCCGUGCCAGCAGCCGCGGUAAUACGGAGGAUGCGAGGUUUUACCGGAUUUAUUGGGUUUAAAGGGUGCGGAGGCGGAUUUUUAAGUCAGCGGGAAAAUCGUGGGGCUCAACCCCAUCCAGCCGUUGAAACUGGGGAUCUAGAGUGUGCGAGAGGUAUGCGGAAUGCGUGGUGUAGCGGUGAAAUGCAUAGAUAUCACGCAGAACCCCGAUUGCGAAGGCAGCAUACCGGUGCACAACUGACGCUCAGGCACGAAAGCGUGGGUAUCGAACAGGAUUAGAUACCCGAGUAGUC
rnacentral:rRNA from 1 species